GAUGAACGCUGGCGGCGUGCCUAAUACAUGCAAGUCGAGCGAACAGACGAGGAGCUUGCUCCUCCGACGUUAGCGGCGGACGGGUGAGUAACACGUGGAUAACCUACCUAUAAGACUGGGAUAACUUCGGGAAACCGGAGCUAAUACCGGAUAAUAUAUUGAACCGCAUGGUUCAAUAGUGAAAGACGGUUUUGCUGUCACUUAUAGAUGGAUCCGCGCCGCAUUAGCUAGUUGGUAAGGUAACGGCUUACCAAGGCAACGAUGCGUAGCCGACCUGAGAGGGUGAUCGGCCACACUGGAACUGAGACACGGUCCAGACUCCUACGGGAGGCAGCAGUAGGGAAUCUUCCGCAAAGGGCGAAAGCCUGACGGAGCAACGCCGCGUGAGUGAUGAAGGUCUUCGGAUCGUAAAACUCUGUUAUUAGGGAAGAACAAAUGUGUAAGUAACUAUGCACGUCUUGACGGUACCUAAUCAGAAAGCCACGGCUAACUACGUG
rnacentral:rRNA from 1 species